rnacentral:rRNA from 1 species
UACGUAGGGUGCGAGCGUUGUCCGGAAUUAUUGGGCGUAAAGGGCUCGUAGGCGGUUUGUCGCGUCGGGAGUGAAAACAUUCAGCUUAACUGGGUGCUUGCUUUCGAUACGGGCAGACUAGAGGUAUGCAGGGGAGAACGGAAUUCCUGGUGUAGCGGUGAAAUGCGCAGAUAUCAGGAGGAACACCGGUGGCGAAGGCGGUUCUCUGGGCAUGAUCUGACGCUGAGGAGCGAAAGUGUGGGGAGCGAACAGGA